rnacentral:rRNA from 1 species
CAGUAGCCACGGUAAUACGUAGGUGGCAAGCGUUGUCCGGAAUUAUUGGGCGUAAAGGGCUCGCAGGCGGUUUCUUAAGUCUGAUGUGAAAGCCCCCGGCUCAACCGGGGAGGGUCAUUGGAAACUGGGAAACUUGAGUGCAGAAGAGGAGAGUGGAAUUCCACGUGUAGCGGUGAAAUGCGUAGAGAUGUGGAGGAACACCAGUGGCGAAGGCGACUCUCUGGUCUGUAACUGACGCUGAGGAGCGAAAGCGUGGGGAGCGAACAGGAUUAGAUACCCCUGUAGUCCCUGUCUCUUAUAU